AUUGAACGCUGGCGGCAGGCCUAACACAUGCAAGUCGAGCGAGCGGCGGACGGGUGAGUAAUGUAUGGGGACUGCCCGAUGGAGGGGGAUAACUACUGGAAACGGUAGCUAAUACCGCAUACCAUCGGAUAACCCAGAUGGGAUUAGCUAGUUGGUGGGGUAAUGGCUCACCAAGGCGACGAUCCCUAGCUGGUCUGAGAGGAUGAGCAGCCACACUGGAACUGAGACACGGCCCAGACUCCUACGGAGGCAGCAGUGGGGAAUAUUGCACAAUGGGCGCAAGCCUGAUGCAGCCAUGCCGCGUGUAUGAAGAAGGCCUUAGGGUUGUAAAGUACUUUCAGUCGGGAGGCGUUACCGGCAGAAGAAGCACCGGCUAACUCCGUGCCAGCAGCCGCGGUAAUUC
rnacentral:rRNA from 1 species